UUAGGUUGGUGCAAAAGUAAUUGCGGUUUUGGUCAUUACUUUUAACAGCAAAAACCUCGAUUAUUUUGCAGCAAC
rnacentral:miRNA from 1 species